rnacentral:rRNA from 1 species
CUUAAGUGAGAUGUGAAAGCCCCGAGCUUAACUUGGGAAUUGCAUUUCAUACUGGGUUGCUAGAGUAUUUUAGGGAGGGGUAGAAUUCCACGUGUAGCGGUGAAAUGCGUAGAGAUGUGGAGGAAUAUCGAAGGCGAAGGCAGCCCCUUGGGAAAAUACUGACGCUCAUGUGCGAAAGCGUGGGGAGCAAACAGGAUUAGAUACCCUGGUAGUCCACGCUGUAAACGCUGUCGAUUUGGGGAUUGGGCUUAGAGC